AUGGCAGAGGAGAUUGCUGCUCUUGAACGCACUGGUACCUGGGAUCUUGUUUCUCUUCCUCCUGGAGUCCGUCCCAUCACUUGUAAGUGGAUCUACAAGGUUAAGACUCGCUCCGAUGGUUCUCUUGAGCGUCACAAAGCUCGUCUUGUGGCUCGUGGUUUUCAGCAUGAGCAUGGUCGUGAUUAUGACGAGACUUUUGCUCCUGUGGCCCAUAUGACAACUGUUCGUACACUUCUUGCCGUUGCCUCUGCACGUCACUGGUCUAUAUCUCAGCUUGAUGUUAAGAAUGCCUUUCUUAAUGGUGAGCUGCGUGAGGAAGUGUACAUGCAGCCACCACCUGGGUAUUCUGUUCCUGAUGGCAUGGUAUGUCGUCUUCGUCGCUCUCUCUAUGGCCUUAAGCAAGCCCCUCACGCCUGGUUUGAGCGUUUUGCCUCUAUGGUCACUGCCGCUGGUUUUUCAGCCAGUGCUCAUGAUCCAGCAUUGUUUAUUCACCUUUCUCCUCGUGGUCGUACUCUUCUUCUUCUCUAUGUUGAUGACAUGAUCAUCACUGGGGAUGACCCCGAGUAUAUUGCCUUUCUAAAGGCCCGUCUUAGUGAGCAGUUUCUUAUGUCUGAUCUUGGACCUCUUCGCUACUUUCUUGGGAUUGAAGUCUCUUCUACCUCUGAUGGCUUUUUUAUAUCCCAGGAAAAGUAUAUCCAGGAUCUUCUUGCUCGUGCUGCUCUUACUGAUGAGCGCAUUGUUGAGACUCCUAUGGAGCUCAAUCUUCACCUCUGUGCUACUGAUGGUGACCCUCUCCCUGACCCGACGCGUUAUCGUCAUCUUGUUGGCAGUCUUGUCUAUCUAGCUGUCACUCGUCCGGACAUCUCUUAUCCGGUUCAUAUUCUGAGUCAGUUCGUCUCUGCUCCCACAUCGGUUCACUAUAGUCAUCUCCUUCGUGUUCUCCGAUAUCUUCGGGGCACAAUCUCUCACUGUCUAUUCUUUACAGCUUUAGGCCUGUUCGGAUGCUACGUGGGCUAG
rnacentral:rRNA from 1 species